GAUGAAGAACGCAGCGAAAUGCGAUAAGUAAUGUGAAUUGCAGAAUUCAGUGAAUCAUCGAAUCUUUGAACGCACAUUGCGCCCUCUGGUAUUCCGGAGGGCAUGCCUGUCUGAGCGUCAUUGUCAACCCUCAAGCUCAGCUUGCUGUUGGGUCCCCGUCGUUGCUUUAACGGCGGACCCGAAAGGUAAUGGCAGAGUCCGUGAGACCCUAGACGCAGCGAGCUUCUAACACGCGUCUGGACGUUUUUCGGGCUCGGUCUUAACUAGAUGAUAACUUCCGAUUGACCUCAGAUCAGGUAGGGAUACCCGCUGAACUUAAGCAUAUCAAUAAGCGGAGGA
rnacentral:misc_RNA from 1 species